AAGUCGUAACAAGGUUUCCGUAGGUGAACCUGCGGAAGGAUCAUUAUUGAAUUUUCAAAGGAGCUGUCUGCUGGCCUCUCGGGGCAUGUGCACGCUUCGAUCGAUUCCAACCUUUACACCCCUGUGCACCUUUUGUAGGGUCGCGGUCGAAAGGCUGUGCUCUAUGUCAUGCCACGAACUCUAUGUAUGUUUAGAAUGUUGAACGCGUGCGACGCAUUUUUAUACAACUUUCAGCAACGGAUCUCUUGGCUCUC
rnacentral:misc_RNA from 1 species